rnacentral:lncRNA from 1 species
AUGAAAUAUGGAAAAGUGUUCAUCUGUGCUACCAGGCUCGCCUGCAGGAAGGACCGUGGGACACUAUUACACAGCAGGAGCACCCCUUACUGGGACAGCCAUUUUUCGUUCUACACCCCUGCCGGACUAAUGAGUUCAUGUGUUCUAUACUGGCCGGUUCACAAAAAGACAACAGGUGAGAAACACGACUGUGCUUUGCAAGGUGUAUGUGCUGUAGAUAAAGUAAGUCAGCUGGGAAGUGGGCAUGGGCAGAACAGCUUCCUUGGUCCAAAUGGAAGGGGAUUCUGUAUUGUCACUUCACUGCUGAAAAUGAUAACAUGCUUGAUACUGCUCAAGUGAAGGAGUAGCCCCAUUUUAAAAUACCUUAUUACUGUCAGCUGUAUCUGUAUCGCAGGAAAAAAACUGAGUAAGAUCUUCAUGGAUUAUGUAUGUCUUUUUUUUCUAGACACAGAAAUUACAUUGUAUUGUGGCUAAGUACAGUAGGCCCAGUUGUGGGUCUAAAUCUACCCCUGAGUUACGCAAAGCUAGGACCCGAAGAGAAUACAAAUGCUGAAACUGAUUGAAAUUUUGUGGAAGGUAAGAGAAAGUUACAUCAUCUCCAUCACCCUUCUCACAUCAUCCUCCAAAAUUGUAAGAAAAUUAGAUAACUGAUGAAAAUAUUAUCUUUGCUUUUGGAGCUCUUUGAAAAAAAAUUAUCUUUGCCUUUGGAGCCUUUGUUCAUUUCAUUUAGGACUCAGAUUUUGGUAUUUUGCUUACACAACCGCCUUGUUACCUUUCAUGUUUUGCAAUGGAAAUUUGUGCUGAGAGAUAUGUGUUUGGCACAUUGCUGUGACCCUUCCUAACUGUCAGAACUUUCCUGAGAGGGAGGUAUCUCUCAGGUGUAUAGGAGCAUUUUGUGGCAGACCUUCCAGCUCAUGGUUGAUGGUGCCAUCCAUCAAAACUCUGCUUCACUAAUUUGAAUUUCAUCCCUUCUCUUUUUCCUGUUUGAUGUCUCCACUUCAGACCCCUGAGCUUGAAGACAGGUGAUACAACCAUGUAGUAAAGCUACUGAAGACUUUUCUAGAGAAGAAACAGACUAAAGUCAUUCUGUGUGAUUG